UGUAUUAUUUUUCCUGCCUGUGCAACCAGUGGCACAGUUUUUAGAAGAGCGGCCUUUGCCAGUUUUCAUCAGCAAGGCCUAUGCACAAAGGGGACAACUGACAAAGGAGGCGUGGGAACGCACUUCUGCGGAGGUGAGUCUCUGCCAAUCAGAGGCCGAAGCAGAUCCCCCUUUCGUCCUUUCGAUCUUUAAAAUCUCACCAGGGUUGAACUUCAGCCCUGUUGAAUCACAACUGACUGAAUACAAAUGACGUUAGAAGGAAGGCUGCCCUGGCGAGAAUGUUCUUUUUGGAAAAAUAAAACUGCAGCUCUCACUGGUGACGAAAACAGGGAAGAUUAAAAAGUGUGGGAGAUCAAGUUGGCCUGCAGCUUUGAGUGCCAGCCAGAGGAGCCAUCACUUCUCAGAAUAAAGGCCACAGCCCUACCUACCUCCCAGGAUUGUUGUGGAGGAAAAACGGGAGGAGGAAUAUAUAUUGCCUGAAGGAAAGGCAGGAUAAACUCAAAUAAACACACAAACUGACAGGCAUUAAAGGCACUGAAGUGGAGCAGGAACUGCUGAGAAGUCACAAUACCAUUAAUUAUUCCAUGCCACAAUCGGGUCACCAAUAAGGCAGUUGAACCUGAAGAACACUUCACCUGGAGCCCCCUGGAAGCUCUCUAGAGCCAUUAACCUCUGGAUCUACCAACUACCAGUUCAGUCCAAGAUUCCAAAGGGUGGCAAACUGGUUGGUAAAGAGAGCUUGCCGUUGUUUUCUUACCUAAGUCUCUUUGACCUGGAGAUGCCUUGGGACAUUCCAUAAGCAAAACAGGUAUUAUAGCCUUGAGUUUGUCAUGAUGGAUAUAGGGAUGUGGUUUGAAAUCAGAUGGAAGAGAAGGACAUGGAAACCACCACCUCUUAUUUUUAAUAGGUUGUGGUUCUAGGCUUUUAUACUCAUAGGAUGCCUGGAGGACCUUUCUUCCAUAUUUUUCUUUCUGCUAUAUAAACAUUAUGCUACAAUGGGUAUCAGCAGGAAGUCUUGGAAGCAACAGAGGCCACCAGAAUGGUAUACAUUGUACAGUCCACCUUCCCAUAAGCUCUCAGAGCAGAGAGAUAUAGAUAUUAUAUCAUGCCCCCAUGUACAAGGUUUUACAUGACUUCUCCCCCCUUUCCUGGGGGUGGGAUUUCUCUAUUUUUACACAGUGUAUAUAUCCUGUGUGAAAUGUUCAGUUAUAUUGACCACCAGGAGGCACCAUGUUACCCAUUUCAUCCAUGUCAGAUGAUUCCUAACAAGGAUGAAACUGGUGUGCCUCCUAGUGGUUAAUGUAAUUGCAAGCAAUAGAGUUUUAAGAAUAUUGCACCAACUCAUGGCUGGCUGGGGAAUUCUGGGAGUUGAAGUCCACACAUCUUCACAUGGCCACAGUUGAGAAACACUGCUCUAGAUAUCCAACAAUGGAUGGAAAACAUUUCUCCACUGAAAUGAGAGAUUUUAAAGCUUUGAAAAGAUUUUUAAAAAUAUUGCAACCUCACGUCUUGGACCUCUCAAAAAAUAAUGUGGGGAUGGGAGAUUUUGCCAGCUAGUGGCAGAUUUUUUGAAAGGUUGCAGAAAACUCUUUUAACAAUAGGGGGCAGCAAAAGUCAAGUGACACAGUAAAUCUUCCAUGCACAGGAAUAUAAUCUACAUCCCAGUAGCUUUGAUGGCUUCAAAAAACCACCCUCGUCCACUUUACAGAAGGUUUAGAUAGCCUGGAGAAAACUCCCUGCAGGUGAUAAGGCAAAUAGUUAUUACCACCAUGCCCAAAGUGUUUCCAGGAAGUAUUUUUUUCUCUCUCUAACCCCAAGGACUAGAAAGUCAAGGUCAGUUUCAAAUUCAAUAUCUCAUAUUUCACCCUAAACAUUUGACUGGAAUAGCAAACCUAUUUACCUGUAGAAUAUCCUGCCCUUGGGAAAAUCAAUGACUGGAACAGAAGGACUGACUAAACCAGUUUCUUUCCUUCCAAAUUGGUAUCUGGGAUCACAGCCAGCAAGCAAUGACAUUUCCCCAUGCCUAAAAUAAAUGCUCAGUUUGGAAAUAAACCAGGUGGAUUUUCAAUGAGUAGAAAGAUUCUGCCUCGCCCUUCUAAGAAAUUCAGAACAAGCCAUUACAAUGGCAACAAUGUCAAUGUCAAGAAGAGAACAUGAGCAUACAAGUAGGGACAGAGUUCCCAAAACAUUCCAGGGUGGACAGUUCGAGCCUAAGGGCUCAAUCCUAACCCUAUCACUAGGAGUCCGCCUCAAUUUGCUAUCUGUAAAAUGGUCUCUCAACCCUUUCAGGUUUACAAUUUUGCUUGAGCCUUAGUAGCUGUUUCGCCUGUGACCUCCCCCCUUUCUCUCCCCAAAUGCAUACCCUGCUUUAAACUACAGAGGAGUUAGAGUUAAUUACUUUGAGCUCCCAGGCAAAUUCCAAAUUUCUCAAGGGAAAGAGAAAGCAGAGAAAUCAAAUCCCCAGGAAGAACUGUGCAAGCUGCUGCCACAGCCACUGGCAGGAGGCAAACCAUCUUUACCGUGAAAGUGAAAUUCUAUCCCUGGAGUAUUCUGUCAGCCUCUAAUUAAAGGGAUUAGGAAGCAAACAGGAGAUUAUUAACAGCCUUGAGAGAGUGUGCUUAAUGUCUUCUAGUAAAUCAGACAGCUUGUCAUCGGUCUCUUGGGGCAAAAUCUACAAAUCCAGGUUAGAUGGGCAAGUUGCUCAGAACCAAUACAGCUCAAGUUGUUCUUGCACGUAUAUCAGUCUACCUGGCCAGAUUCUCUCUUCCCUACUUUUCCCUUCAAUUUUUUUCUAAGAAAGGUUAACCAAACCCUAGAAUCAUACUGUUCAGCUUUCCCUACAAUUGUCUUACAAUUCCCGGAAGUCCUAGCCUUUCUAUAGAGGUAAAGAUUUGACCACUAUGUAGGCUCAUGGGAUUGACUUCACUUUAUUACUAAUAUCUUAAAUUCCACCAACAAGAGCCAGGUACCAACGGGUCAUUCAAGGUGCUAGAACCAAUCUCUUAAACACCCCAUGGGCUGUACAAGACACAAGGCCAGAUAUGAGUUGUUACAAAUCCAGAAUUCGAACAACCCAGUUUAGCAAACUACACUUUUGUGCUUAUUCAAUAAAUAAGAAUCAGAACCUGAUAGUAGUUGGUGGGGUUUUGUUUACGACUUAUCAUAUUUCGAAGGAAUGCAAGUAGUUCAAUCAAGCAUUCCCCUCCCCCCCUUUCCCCCCAUAACGCUCAACUUAGCAUUGGGAGGCAUUGAGGGAAAUUUAUAAAGAUGAUCAGACACAACUGCAACUUGGAGCAUUCUUACUUCAAUUAUGUACAGUAAGUUUGCCAAACCCACUGACAAAGGAGAAGGCUUGCCCGGGUACUCCAUUCUCCCCAGCUUGGAGACAACCCUGUGAAUUACUUCUCUUCUCACACCUCAUGUAAAAUAACCUGAGUUUCUUCUGCACAGGAUUUAGAUUCCUUGUUAAAAGAAUAUAUGCACUCCUGCAAGCAAACCACAAAGAAUCGGGUUUGGUGAGCUAAUACUAAGUAAAGGGGAUUUCCUGAUCUUGGCCCAGGAAGAGAGAAAUAGAGGUAACCUCAGUAACAGUAGCUACCCUGAUUUGCCUUUCAAAAUUUUGGUCAUAUCCUUCUCUACAUUCCUGACAAGUAACGACACAUUGAUUCUCCUCCCCUUCAGUAGAAAGAAAUCUGAUCAUGCCUCCUCACUUAAUCACCCUUAUUCAUCAGGAAGUUUCAGCUCUCCCAAGCUAAAUGUCAAAAAGUCAAA